AUUGAACGCUGGCGGCAGGCCUAACACAUGCAAGUCGAACGAGUGGCGGACGGGUGAGUAAUGUCUGGGAAACUGCCCGAUGGAGGGGGAUAACUACUGGAAACGGUAGCUAAUACCGCAUACCAUCGGAUGUGCCCAGAUGGGAUUAGAUAGUAGGUGGGGUAACGGAUAACCAAGGCGACGAUCCCUAUCUGGUCUGAGAGGAUGACAAUCCACACUGGAACGGAGACACGGUCCAGACUCCUACGGGAGGCAGCAGUUGGGAAUAUUGCACAAUGGGCGCAAGCCUGAUGCAGCAAUGCCGCGUGUAUGAAGAAGGCCUUCGGGUUGUAAAGUACUUUCAGCGGGGAGGCGUUACCCGCAGAAGAAGCACCGGCUAACUCCGUGCCAGCAGCCGCGGUAAUAC
rnacentral:rRNA from 1 species